UUCUGCUGGUGUUCCUUUUGUGCUCCUUGUGCUCCUUGUGCUCCUUUCAAAAUUCACUGGUACACUGAAGUUAUGGCUGCAUGCUCGGAAUGCUCGCAACCCAGAAACUUGUGUACCCGGCCUUCUACAUAUUGUACAGAGUUUUCUAUCAAGAUGUUGCCAGAACAUUUCGAAGAAUAUUCUAUUCUCCCUUGCUGUUACUAUACAAGGAUUAAAUUUUUAUGCCCAUCAAAAAUAAUGAAAGCUGUAGAUAGACCAGCUCCCCAUUUGGACGCACCUGCUGAUGACUUUACAACACAUCAUCUAUUAUUGGAUGAUUGUGAUACAUACUUUUCCAUAGAAGGACCAUAUUAUUUGUCCUUGUUAGAAGCAUUUCGUAUCAAUGUUGGAGAUACAAUAAAAUUUAUAUGGGAUGAAGAUUACGACAUCUUUAAUGUCUCCAUUCUAGCCGGAAUAGAUCAGCCAA